GAAGAAUGGUAAUUCUGAACCUCCUAAAGACAGGUGAGAAAAAGCAUCGAGAAAACAUCUUACGGGGAGAGUUUGCAAAGACAAUCCAAUUUAUUAACAAAGGCGUGGACAAGGAGAAUCUUUUAAAGGCAAUCGUCCAUUUUGAUCUAAGCAAACACUACAAAAAAAGGAGCUGAUGGUGCAUUCAACCACUUGUGUAUCUUUGCAAGGAAAGCAUUGGAAUUAACUGACUUGUUUUACUGUAAAGUUCCUUCAGGUGUAGGAGGUGAUGGAGUAAUUUAUGAUUCGUU